rnacentral:lncRNA from 1 species
UAUGAAAGAGGAAAAGGAGGUUGGUCCUUAUUACAGACUUGAGACAUCAUUAACUAGCGCGAAAAAGACAACGGACGAGAGCAAGAAUCACACAGGCAAGAACGC